UAUCAGCUCGCGAAAAACCCGGGGAGGUAGACAAAUAAUGCUUCGUAUUGGAAAGGUAUACUUGGUAUUGACUGACGAAAUACGCCCUCCUUCCCUCCUUCCCCCCUCCUUUCCAUAAAACAGAACAUCUAAAGCCGUCUAAUCAUUCUGCACCCGAGCAACGUAUCAGUUGGCACCCCAUAUCCGGAACACAACCACGUGUCAUACGCCGGAAUUUACGGUACUUUCCCGGCAAGAGUUUUCAACAAUACUAUUUAUUUGACAGAGUGGCCAAUAACAUCUCGGUGGACAAUUGCUGGAGGCGUGACGCGUGCACACGAAGCGUGCCCAUAAAGGCGCGCGGUGCCAACAGCACUCCAUCUUCGUCAAAUCGAUACCUUUGGUCCGCCGCAUCUAAGCGCCGAAGAGCGCGGUUUGUGCGGAAGCUGUUUAUAGGGAGCGGAAGGGGCUCAGGCGUGAAUAAAUGAAGAGAGGGAAUUGGACAGAAUGAGGACCGAGCUGUGAGGUACUUCCGUUGUACUUAAUGUUUUUUUUUUUCUUUCCAGGUGUGGAUCUCUUCCUCCUUCAGGAAGAUUGGCGCUGUCGUUCAUGCGGGCUGUUGCGUGGAGCAGUUGAAAACGGCGAAGCACUGGGAGCAAGCAGAUAGUUUCAACCUGAGCUGCUUGUGACUUGGAAACGCAUAGUAUUAAAAAAAAAAGAUUGAAGCAGAUAGAGUAAUAGACUGCCUCUGGCCGGCGCCACUAACGUAAGUCGGAACAGUGUGAUAUUUUCUUGCUUUAUUUUGUUUUAUUUAUUUAUUUUUGUCAUUCAGAUCAAAAUGCAUUAGAGGCUGAAAGUUAUGCGCGAUCACCACUCGUGAAGGGCUGAAGUUCUUUAUUCAACCCUUUAACCAAUCUUAAAUAUAUAAGUCGCAUAAAAAACAUAGCACCGAAGCCAUUACCAGUGAUCGUAAACUUAAGUAUACGCCGAGCGCUUUAAGAAAGCUGUUCACAUUUUUUAUAGGCAUGAUGCCCUUGAAGACUUAUAUCUGUUGCAGAUAUGACAUUUAUGUAGCAUUUCUUGUUUCACUCACUAAUUCUGCAGAUAACA